rnacentral:snRNA from 8 species
AUACUUACCGGGCAAGGGAGACACCGUGAUCAAGAAGGCGGUUCACCCAGGGCGAGGCUCAGCCAUUGCACUCCGGCUGUGCUGACCCCUGCGAAUUUCCCAAAUGUGGAAAUCUCGAUUGCAUAAUUUCUGGUAGUGGGGACUGCGUUCGCGCUCUCCCCU